rnacentral:piRNA from 1 species
UCAUUUGUGCAGUCUGCCCAAGA